UGAAAAUGUAUCGUAGUUGUAGAGCAUAACUUCAGUCAAAUUACUGGUUAAUCCAUAGCAAAAAUGUCAACAAGAAUGUUACGCGUGGUGAAACGGAUUACCUGACAUGUCUCAGAGUUUGACACCGUAUCUAACGUCUGUACCAGCACGAUGCAGCAUACAGUAUAAACUGAUGUCCAUGCACGAGAUACAAAACUAGAAAGCUUGCUGUGGGCAGUAAACUUUAGAAGGAGUCAGGGUUGAAUCCAUGGCUGGCAAAUGGGGGAGAUAGGGGAAAUCCUUUUCCCCUAAGACACAGGAAGUCUGACGUGUGAAUGUCCAGAUGCUGAGAGACCCGGUACAACAACAACACCAGCAUGGUCAUGUACCCGUGCCUUGCUUUAAACCGAGUUGACUCGGUAAGCGGUCCAUUUAUUGCCAUAUCAGUCAUCGGUCGUGCUGAGAUCAUGCUUCACAGAAUGCUAACCCCUAACUUCCGUCUACAACAGCAAGGUCACCGAGGCAGCCCAUGUAUUGUGAAAACGAAUAGGCCUAUAUAUAAGAGAAUGCAUGCAGUCGUGUUGCCUGUAGUCUUAGGGCAUGUACUAUAUUUGCCAGGUGUAUCACACAGUGUAAGAGAAUAAUACAUCUACAUUGCCCUCUUUGUAGGGUUUUCAGCUUGAACGUUGCGGUUUAAGCAGUCUAGCCACUGCUGUAGUGGAUUUUUCGGGCUCUGCGCGCAGGAUUUUCUCCGAAUUCAACAGGAUAAAUAUACUUAGCAUACCAGAGUUAAAAGUAUAAUCUUAGCGUUGGUAUUUGUCUGUAUGUAUCAUUUUGCAGGUAUAUUUCACAGUACAAAAAAUAACAAUGGUUCAUGUAUGUUACACCCACUUUAUAAACUUUUUAACUUCACUUUGAGCGAUGGCAAUCUCCAGUCAAAGCUGCACUGGACAUAGGGCCUACCUAUAUAGUUGUAAUAAAGUGAAGAUCUUCAGUCAAAGUUUCACUAAAUAUACAAGAACAUUUACAUGUACAUUGGCCGCCACAGUUAAAGGGGAAAAUAACCUAAUGUGAAUUUCCCGCUUUUUACAUGUACUAUACUGUUCUGUCACAAAAGCCUGCCAUAUUUGUUGCUGCCUGGCUUAGCGCUCAGCACCCAGAAACUAGAGCAAGCAGGCAGUACUCGUUGGCUCGGUACCAGUAUGAUGUGAAUAGGCAGUGUGUCAUGCUGGGUGUCUGUGGCAUGACAGUUCAGUGGUAGCGGCACAUUGGCGGCAUUGACUCUGCUACAAGAAGACACACUAUAUAUGUGAACACACCUAAUGACUUCUCUUCGCUAUAUGAAUGAAACAUCGUUAAGUACGAUGUUAAAC